AUAAACUGGAGGAAGGUGGGGAUGACGUCAAGUCAUCAUGGCCCUUACGACCAGGGCUACACACGUGCUACAAUGGCGCAUACAAAGAGAAGCGACCUCGCGAGAGCAAGCGGACCUCAUAAAGUGCGUCGUAGUCCGGAUUGGAGUCUGCAACUCGACUCCAUGAAGUCGGAAUCGCUAGUAAUCGUGGAUCAGAAUGCCACGGUGAAUACGUUCCCGGGCCUUGUACACACCGCCCGUCACACCAUGGGAGUGGGUUGCAAAAGAAGUAGGUAGCUUAACCUUCGGGAGGGCGCUUACCACUUUGUGAUUCAUGACUGGGGUGAAGUCGUAACAAGGUAACCGUAGGGGAACCUGCGGUUG
rnacentral:rRNA from 1 species